rnacentral:rRNA from 1 species
CUCCUACGGGAGGCAGCAGUGGGGAAUAUUGCACAAUGGGGGAAACCCUGAUGCAGCGACGCCGCGUGAGUGAAGAAGUAUUUCGGUAUGUAAAGCUCUAUCAGCAGGGAAGAAAAUG